CAGCCGCCGCGGUAAAACAGAGGGUGCGAGCGUUAAUCGGAUUUACUGGGCGUAAAGCGUGCGUAGGCGGCUAAUUGAGUCGGAUGUGAAAUCCCCGAGCUUAACUUGGGAAUUGCAUUCGAUACUGGUUAGCUAGAGUGUGGGAGAGGAUGGUAGAAUUCCAGGUGUAGCGGUGAAAUGCGUAGAGAUCUGGAGGAAUACCGAUGGCGAAGGCAGCCAUCUGGCCUAACACUGACGCUGAGGUACGAAAGCAUGGGGAGCAAACAGGAUUAGAUACCCCUGUAGUCCCUGUCUCUUAUAC
rnacentral:rRNA from 1 species